UGUCAGAACACAUCUUAAAAGACGUUCACUUUAGGGAAAGAAAGUUGCUACUGGAGAAACCUUCUGAACAUGGACAUUUAUGGGGGUUGCAGCAACUUACAAUGAAAGCUCCCACCAGCCAUUCUUACCCCCAUUCCUGUGCAGGAACACACAGCGCUUGGAGCUCUGGCGCCCAGCUGCGUGUCAGAGGCAGCCACGCAACAGCUACGACUCAAGAGCACUCCCAGUUGACACCACUUAUCUGCUCCGCACCACCACUUAUGUGUUUGCUGAAAGGGAGAGAGAGGCAGCCGCCGAGCUAAACACUGGGAAAAAAAAGAUCUCUAUUGCAACGACUUUCCGAGGGGACUGUUUUCACGGGCUCUUGUAUUCUUUGUUUGAGGAUGAUAAAAACUGAGACAGAGACAGGCGGUUCUUUGGAAAACGUGCAUAAGUCACAAAGCACUGAAUUUAUCACUGAGUUGGUUUACUCCAUUUCUGUUCUGAGGAUCCAGCGGUACUGCGGAUCCCAUGCAUAACUGCGUGCACACAACCUCUGGUCGUUGUCUGCAGUGAGCAGAUUUAGUAAUGACAACACCAGCAACACACAGUCUGCAAACCUCUCUGCAAUCCUUCGGGAGGAAAGGAGCUUUCCAACAAAGUUUAUUGCUUUUAAUUAUUGAUUUUUCUAAAAAUAUUAAUAAAAUAUGACUCCAAAAUCU
ensembl:lncRNA